GCUGGGCAUGUUGUUGCAUGCCUGUAAUCUGAGCUACUCAGGAGGCUGAGGCAGGAGAAUCACUUGAACCCAGGAGGUGGAGGCUGCAGUGAGCCGAGAUCGCACCACUGCACUCCAGCCUGGGUGACAGAGUGAGACCCUGUCUCAA
rnacentral:SRP_RNA from 2 species